CAAAAACCUAGGAGAGGGUGCUGUUCACUUUUUGUUCUAUUCCUCCAGUCUCUACAGAUGCCCUACCUGCCUUCUGUGACGUCACACUGACUCUUCUUCUUGUCCAACCCAAUGCUCCUUUAACAUUGGGGACAAAAAGCGCAUGUGCGGCCAGCGCUGUGAUACUCCGAUCAAAUGGUGGUUCAUGGUGAGAACUGAGUUUUACUCGGUUCUCGCAGCAGAAGCCUCUCUAGUGGUUAUCAGGAAAACAGACACUAGAGGAGUAUUUAUUUCCUGUAAUGUAAGCAUUGCUGUUUCUAAACCAAAUGUUU